ACCAACUCUUGAAGGCUGAGUAGUUUCUCCGCGAUUUAGAAGAACAGAUAUGAGGGUUUGUUGAUCUCGUAAUAAUGUAUUGCAAAGUGAAGUGGUGUUCUCCAACUGUCCUUGCAAAACAUUAAAUUGUCUCUCCCACAUCAACCUCUCUCGAGCACUGUAUUGUUCUUCUUCAUGAAGUUCUUCGGGAUUUGAGAAACGC
rnacentral:lncRNA from 1 species